rnacentral:rRNA from 1 species
GACGUAGGGCGCGAGCGUUGUCCGGAUUUAUUGGGCGUAAAGAGCUCGUAGGCGGCUUGUUGCGUCCGCUGUGAAAACCCGCAGCUCAACUGUGGGCUUGCAGCUGAUACGGGCAGGCUUGAGUUCGGUAGGGGAGACUGGAAUUCCUGGUGUAGCGGUGAAAUGCGCAGAUAUCAGGAGGAACACCGGUGGCGAAGGCGGGUCUCUGGGCCGAAACUGACGCUGAGGAGCGAAAGCGUGGGGAGCGAACAGG